AGGAUCCUGAAGGAGUAGAGGGGGAAAUCACUUUUGGCAUAUACAGUUGGACUGGUGCACAGAUUGUGAACAAAGGGAAUGCUUCAAAAGCAAAUCAUCCUGGAUGAAAAUGUAGCUAUAAAAAUGUGAUUGGAUAUAUUUUUGUUAACAGACCAUAAAACAUACAAUAGCUUUGCUGGGCUAUUUUUUUAUUUAACUGUAUUUUUAAUUUUAUCUCCAGUAUUAAUUUUACUUGUUUGACAUCCAUAAUCCAUCUUCUUUUCUGAGAUCUACAUUUUUAAUAGGUAAGAAGACAUUUAUUUACUCUUUAUAACUUCUUGUAUAAUAGAUAAAAUAUUACUUUCUUUUCUAGUGUUGCUCACUAUUCAAUUUCUCCCAGAACUUCCAUCAGUCUAAUUUCUGUUCAGUAGCUUCUUUGCAGCUAACUAGCAGUGCAGCAAUUUGGAAUUCUGUACCUCAUGGUGUGAUGCAGCAGUAUUUGCAGUCAAAAAAAUUUCAGUAGUUAACAGCUUUUCAGUUAGAAAAGAUGAGACUUGAGGCUAUAACCUCUCCACCAUUUUUUUUCCAGGCCUUUCUGUAGCACAUUACUCUUUUCUUUUUUCUUUCACUUUAAUUCUGGGCUCAACAAGAGGAGGAACUGCUGCAAAAGGUCUUACAAAAAAAAUUCUUCUGCCACUUUGCAAUUGUAACCUAUUUCAAAGAAAUAGGUUACAUCGUCUAUACUAGAAAAAAAUGUUACAAAAGUGCCAAUAGAUGUAUUUUUAUAAAUAGUGUCUUUACUGAUAUAUUUAAAAAGAUAAAUGUGAGUUAGUGAAACUCACCCACUUCUUUUUUUCCAGCUCUUGAAAGCACAGCAGUGACUUGGGUAUGAUAGGUCAGCUCUCAUUAGCUGAAGAAAUACCUUUACAGCUGGUAAUUUCUUUAAAGUCCAUGUAUUUUUGGCCAUUAGUUCCUUUAGGCUCUCCAGUCCUUUGGCUGGAAGGUUAGCAACAGCUGUUCUGGAGAUGUCCCUAAGAAGGAAAAAGAUGACUAGAUCAGAUUUAUUUUCAGAUUGUUACUGUUCUUCAGGAGUUCCACAGAAUUCUGCAAUAAAAAUAAAUCCUAAAGAGAUGGGGAUUUCAUAUUGCCUUAUUAAGUUCUGAUACUGUUCAAAUUCAGGUAAGGCUGUUCAUUGCUCUAUGAUUUUCACUGUUUUUUAAAGCUCUUGUCUUUAAUGACUUUUAGCACAGAAUAAGUAUUAUAAAGAAAUAUCACAACUCGUAAAAUUACACCUUUAAAGCCAACCAGAUACAAAUACAUGUGCGACCACAGAGUUUUAAAAAUCCUUUAAAGAAAUCACAUCUUCCAUUGGAAGAGUUAUAUUCCCUUAGACUUCCUUGGAUUAAGUUUAACCUAUUGGCACACUUUAAUAGAAAGCAUUGCAAUUCCUAAAAGAAUAUUCUCUAUAUACUGAAAUUCAAAUCUUCUGUCAUAGUCCAUCCUGAAUCUCUCAGAAAACUGAGUAUUAUGUUUGUUGCUUUCUACUUGUCUGCUGAGGUGGACUCAUGAGAAAGAUGAUUCCCAGUUGAUGGGGAGGUGGCUUUACUUUUAGACUGCCAGGAGUGUCACCUGGUCGUGCUAGUGUUUUCUACUCAGUUUUCCUUUGUCCCAAAACCUCUUCUAGUGACACUUAAAGUUGUUUUUAGAAUUACAGUCUGUGAAGUAAACCUGUAAAAAGAGUUCUAGGGUAGGAACAUUGUUUGAGCAUUGUUUUAUCAUGAACACUCUCAAAUAAAUGUUUUAUCUACAUUUUCUUAUCCUUCUAGAAGUCUUGCUCACUGUCUGGUUUCUUGCACCCAGAAGGAAAUUAGAACUAAUUUUAUGCUUUAAACAAUUUUUAAAUGUCUACAGCAUUUGGGUUUGCUCUGGGUUUUUUUUUUUCCUUUUGGUUUGUUUGUAUUUGUUUUUAAAUUGAGUUAGAAAAUGCUGCUCCUUUUUGUAGGAGGACUUUUUCACUUCUGAAAGUUCCCUUGCUAUCAUAUGUUCUUUAAUAUGUCACAACUAAUUAAUUUCAACUACAUGAAAUUCUUUUUUGUUCUUCUGGAGUCCUUUUUGAUAGAUAUUUUUACCAAGAGCCUGAACUGGCUCUUAGAAGAGUCUGAAUAUUGUCUGCUAUCAUUUUAUCUUCUAAAGAAUCACAGAGUAGUUGAGUUUCCAAAUUAUCUAGUUUGACCUCCUUGAUCAAAACAGGUUCACCUGGAGCAGGUUGCUCUGAGCUGUCCCCCAUUGACUUCUCAGCAUCUCUAGGUCAGGAGACUCCACAGCCUCUUUAGCAAUGUGUUGUGGCAUUUGAGUACUCUCGCAACAAAGAAAUUUUUUCAGAUGUAUGAUGAGGUCACCUCUCAGUCAUUUCUUCUCUCAGUCAUUUCAGAGAACAGGCCCAGCUCCCUGAGCUUUUCGUCAUGAGGGAGAUGCUCCAGACCCUUAACCAUCUUUGUUGCUCUGCACUGGACCUGUGUCAGGAGCUCCAAAUCUCUCUGGUACUGAGGAGCCCAGAGCUGGACACAGCACUGCAGCUGUGGCCUCACCAGGGCUGAGGAGAGGGGCAGGAUCACCUCCCUUGACCUGCUGGCAAUGCUCUUCCUUCUUCUGCAGCAAAACAUCUUGAGUUCAUCAAGAGAUGGCUCAGUCACUUAAAUCAACUUUGUUUUGAGACUUGAAAUGGACACAGCAUUCACUGCAUAGCCAUGCCCAGCAGUAUAGAGGAUAGCAUAUAUUUUUGCUAUAUAACAAGGCAAGAUAUAAUAUAAACUUCAUUCCUUAUAUCUUCUGUCCACAGUUAAGUCUUUAAAUAUUUCUACCCAAGAGAAUGCUUGGUCUGCAAAUGGCUUUUCAUCUGCAUAUGUUGAAAAACCAGCCUGACACUAAUCAUAGCUAUGGCCAUGAUGGUGCUUUCUGUAGGUGUGUUGGUGGGGAUGCUGUAUCUCCAGCAAUCACCAUCAUUGCCUGGAAUCACGACUUCCUCAUUUUUCUGAAAUUUUUGUCUCUUCCCUUAUUCCCCUCAAUAUUUCUAAUUCCUCUGUUUUCUAGCAGACAAGUUGUCUAAGAAAUAGAAGUGGGAAAAGAUACAGAAGUUAGUAGAUAAAUCACUAUGUAGACACUGGUACAAAGACUUCAACCUCUCCAUAUAUUGUUGUACUGACAAAACAGUUCUGCUUCACCUUUCAGGUCAUCAGUUUUCUCUGUUUACUAAAACACUGCAAGGAAAUGAGGAUUUCGCUUUUACUUGCAUGUUAAAUUGAUGUCAUGAAUUGCUCUAGUACUGCUACUGUAGUGCUGCAUUCAACUAUUCUUCAGAUCUGUUAGCUACUUUGAACUGUAGCUGUGUUUCUGCAUUUAAAGAAAUCCUCUCAGUGUCAGUUUCCUGCUUCUCUCCAAUUAUUUUAUUAGUUAUGUAGCUAUCACAUUCUCAACAGUGGAAUUUGCUUUGUAAACAUUAACUGACAUGUUUUUUCCAUCACUGGGUGCUUUAAAAAUGUUGGACUUGUGAGCUUCCUGGCCUGAUAAUCCUCUGUGGACCAAGCAUAUUCCAGGGAAAGAGAGACUUUAGUUCAGCCUUUAGCCUGGAAAUGGAUAAUGCACUGGAGUAUCAAAGAGUCAUCAGGUUUUGGUUUGUUGUUAUUCAUAGUAUUCUGCCUAAAUUAUUUGGAUGAGGGUACUGGAAAUAAGAAUUCAAAAUCAGCAGAUAGUACUAAAACUUAAAGAACAAAGUAAUGUAAUGAGAUACAAUUUUGAUUUCUUAAGUAAUUGGUCCAUGAGAGGACAUUUGCUGAUUAAAAGAGGCAAAUAAAAAGCUAACUAAUCUGGGAAGAAAAUAUUUUAAACAGCCAGAUGAGACAGCACAGUAAUGAGAGAAAAUCUUAAAUAAUGUGAAUGAGGGAAUCAAUAUAAUUCAACUAAACAUUGGGAAAAGGCUUAUAUCCCUGCUGUUCAAUUUUCUUGAACUGGUAAUGUUUGGAUUCAAAAAGAAGUAUGCUUUUCUAUAAACUGUAUUUAUGCUUGCAAUUCAUCCUACGCUUUGUAUUGCAGAGGUGCUUUAAAGCCCAAAAGGAAGAAAAGGGCCACUGUGGAGCAGACAGCCAGACUGAGAAAUGUCUAGUCAAAACAGAUGAGAGAGCCAAACCAUCCAUGUUAUUUCCUCUGCAUGCACCUGUUCCAGCCUUUGCACCAGUGGCACCAGAAAACUGGCUUGGGCUCCCAACAGCCUACUCCCUACCUCCAGACUGCAGAUUUGAACAAGAUUUUUUUGCACAGCACUUAUCCCAGCUCUGAAAUUCACUGCAGAUGCUUGGAUAUUCCCUGAUUAAAUUAUACAUGUGCCUUCCUUCCAAACAGAUUUUAUAAACCAGCAUCCCCCGUAUUGCUGUCCACCAUCUACCCCUGUUGUCCUCUGCUGCUGAUGGAGAGCAGCUUGGUGACAUGUAGGACACUUCAGAAGAGGACAACCAGGAGCAGGCCUCUUAAGUCCUCUGCCUGGCAGUGCAGCCUGAGGAAAUGGAGCAUUACCUGGCACAGAGGAUAGACCAAAGAAGCACUGAAGUGUACUGGACAUACAGCAAUCCAUGGGACCAGACACGUUGCACCUAAGUGCAAUGAGGAUGCUGGCUGACAUCAUUUUGAGGCUACCCUCUUAUCUUUGAAAUAAUCUUUGAAAUAAAGCAGCAUGCACAUCUUCUAGUGCAGCACAAAGGAGGAUCUGAGGAAACACAGGUUGCU